rnacentral:tRNA from 1 species
GCGGGCGUAACUCAGUUGGUAGAGUGUUAGCUUCCCAAGCUAAAUGUCGAGGGUUCGAGUCCCUUCGCCCGCU